rnacentral:rRNA from 1 species
UACGGAGGAUGCGAGCGUUAUCCGGAUUUAUUGGGUUUAAAGGGUGCGUAGGCGGGAUGCCAAGUCAGCGGUAAAAAUGCGGUGCUCAACGCCGUCGAGCCGUUGAAACUGGUGUUCUUGAGUGGGCGAGAAGUAUGCGGAAUGCGUGGUGUAGCGGUGAAAUGCAUAGAUAUCACGCAGAACUCCGAUUGCGAAGGCAGCAUACCGGCGCCCUACUGACGCUGAGGCACGAAAGCGUGGGUAUCGAACAGG